AUCCAGAUGACGAGUCCAAAAUAGGAAGAAACGUACGUACUGGAU
rfam:Schistosoma curassoni strain Dakar, Senegal genome assembly, scaffold: SCTD_contig0010991